CGACUCAGGAACUCCACCAGGGCGAGAAUUAGAAGCGGAGCUGACAGGGGAGCGGUGGCCGUCAAUCCCGCGCCACGAGGACGCGAACCCCUGGUUGAACCAAAGCUGAUCAGAAGAAAGACUUACAAAAAGAAAUGAAAAGGCAGUGGAAGACGCAUCUCAACCUCUCCGGACAAGGGUGACAGAUUAAGGAAACUCUCCUAGCCUUAUUUGCAUUGGAGAUGAGACAGGGACACAUCUCCAUUAGCAUACAGAAUGGAGAACGGAGAUUCCAAGUGCUCUUUUGAAACUCAACCAUUUCCAUCACAAGUCUAUUGAUUUCUAACCACUGGAGAUCUGCGAUGCAGAGAUCUUCAGACUUGAUUGUGUGUGGCUGCCUGCUGUGUGGUGACAUAUUUCCAAGCAGUUGGACCUUUAG